AUGAACGCUGGCGGCGUGCUUAACACAUGCAAGUCGAACGGAAAGGCCCAAGCUUGCUUGGGUACUCGAGUGGCGAACGGGUGAGUAACACGUGGGUGAUCUGCCCUGCACUUCGGGAUAAGCCUGGGAAACUGGGUCUAAUACCGGAUAGGACGAUGGUUUGGAUGCCAUUGUGGAAGGUUUUUUCGGUGUGGGAUGAGCUCGCGGCCUAUCAGCUUGUUGGUGGGGUAAUGGCCUACCAAGGCGUCGACGGGUAGCCGGCCGGAGAGGGUGUACGGCCACAUUGGGACUGAGAUACGGCCCAGACUCCUACGGGAGGCAGCAGUGGGGAAUAUUGCACAAUGGGCGCAAGCCUGAUGCAGCGACGCCGCGUGGGGGAUGACGGCCUUCGGGUUGUAAACUCCUUUCGCUAGGGACGGAGCGUUUUUGUGACGGUACCUGGAGAAGAAGCACCGGCUAACUACGUG
rnacentral:rRNA from 1 species